rnacentral:rRNA from 1 species
GACAGAGGGUGCAAACGUUGUUCGGAAUUACUGGGCGUAAAGCGCGUGUAGGCGGCUCGGAAAGUCGGAUGUGAAAUCCCUCGGCUUAACCAAGGAAGUGCAUCCGAAACUGCAGUGCUUGAGUACUUAAGAGGAUCGCGGAAUUCCCGGUGUAGAGGUGAAAUUCGUAGAUAUCGGGAGGAACACCAGUGGCGAAGGCGGCGAUCUGGGAAGAUACUGACGCUGAGGUGCGAAAGCGUGGGGAGCAAACAGG